rnacentral:tRNA from 1 species
GUAAGCGUAGUUUAAUGAAAAUAUUAGGUCGUGACCCUAAAGCUGAAGGUUAAAAUCCUUUCGCUCACC